rnacentral:rRNA from 1 species
GGGGUAAAUUUAAUAUAUAUAUAUAAAUAAUAAAAAAAUUUUUAAUAUUGGGGGGUAUUAAAGUAUUUUUAAAGAAAAAAUAUAUUAAUUUAUAGUUAAAUAGUAUUAUAAAAGAAAUUUGAAAUAAAUAGUUAAAAAUGAAUUAGGGGGGAAGUAAUUUUAAUUUAAUGUAUCUUGUGUAUCAGAGUUUAUUAAAUAAUAUUUUUUAUAGAAGAAAAUCUCGAAUUUAAAUAAGCUAAUUAAUUAAAAAAGUUAAUGUUGAAUAAUUAUUUUAAAUAAUUAAUUAGAAAUGAAAUGUUAUUCGUUUUUAAAUAUAUCUAGUUUUUUUAGAAAUAAGUUUAAUUUAGAAUUUAAAAAAUUUUAUUAUAAAUUAAAUUUAUUUAUAAUAAAAUAUUUAAAAUUAAAUAUAUUAGGGGAUAAUCUUUAAUUUAUAAAAUUUUAUAAUUAAAUAAAAAUAAAAUAAAAAUUUUAAAUUUUAUAUUAUUUAUAAAUUUUUAUUUUUUAUAAAAAAUUUUAUUAAAAAUAAAAUUUAAUAAUAAAUUUAUUUUUUUAUAAAAAAAAUUAUUUUUAAAUUAAUAAAUUAAGAAAUAAUGAUAAAAUUAGUAUAUUAAUAUGUAUAUAUAUAUAUAUAUAUAUAUAUAAACAUCGUAAGUUUAACUAAAAAAUAAAUUAAAGGAAUUCGGCAUAAUAUGUAUAUACAUUGUAUAAUUAGGCAAGUAUAAUAUAUUAUACCUAUACAAGUUAUAUAAAUAUAUUCACUUGUUUAUCAAAAACAUGUCUUUUAGGAAAUAAUUUAAAGUCUAAUCUGCCCACUGAUAAUUAUUAAAGGGCUGCAGUAUAUUGACUGUACAAAGGUAGCAUAAUAAAUAGUCUUUUAAUUGAAGACUGGUAUGAAAGAUUUGAUGAGAUGUAAACUGUCUCUAGUUUAAAUAUAUAAUUUAAUUUUUUAGUUAAAAAGCUAAAAUUUUUUUUAAAAGACGAGAAGACCCUAUAGAGUUUUAUAUUAUUUAUUUUUGGGGUUAUUUAUUAAAUUAAGAAUUAAAAGUAUAAAUAAUAUUUUAUUGGGGGGAUAAAAAAAUUAAAUUAACUUUUUUUUAAAAUUUACAUAAAUAAAUGAUAAUAAGAUCUAUAAAUUAUAAAUAAAAGAAAAAAUUACCUUAGGGAUAACAGCGUAAUUUUUUUUUUUAGUUCAAAUAAAAAAAAAAGUUUGCGACCUCGAUGUUGGAUUAAGAUAAAAGUUAAAUGCAAAAGUUUAAAAUUUUGAUCUGUUCGAUCAUUAAAAUCUUACAUGAUCUGAGCUCAAACCGGUGUGAGCCAGGUUGGUUUCUAUCUUUAAACUUGUAAAAUAUUUUAGUACGAAAGGAUUAAAUAUUUUUAAUAAUUAAAAUUAAAGAAUAUUAAUAAAUGAAAAUUAUAAA